ensembl:lncRNA
GAGAUUGUCACAACGUGCUCUAAGGUGUCACCAGGGAGAUUGUCAGCACGCGUCACAACGUGCUCUAAGGUGUCACCAGGGAGAUUGUCAGCACGCGUCACAACGUGCUCUUUGGAAAUGCCAAGUUAUUUUCUUUCUUUCUUCUUUCCUGGAAAAUAUUGACGUUGACAAAUUGGAUUCCUGGUCUGUCUCGUCUCUUGGUUUCUCCUUGGCAGCACAGUGGUAAUAGAGGCGGCUAGCUGCCAACGGCUACAAAGGACAGAUUGCUGAACAACAUGGUAAUGAUGAUGAUACGUGAUAAACCGAUCAGAAGUUCAGAGGGUUAAAGCAGAAGGAACAUUUCCUUUGGAACCUUCUGUACGUUCCCACAGUGUCAAU